rnacentral:lncRNA from 1 species
GGAAGAUGUAGAGUGAGGAAAGAGCUCUGAUCUGUUUGGGGAAAAAGUAUCACAGCCUAUUAGUUAGGAGCGAUGAAAUUGAGACAGCUUCAGGGACUCCAUUAAGUGUGUGGUGUUUAGGCAGACUGUGUCCCUAGGUAAAGUGUGCUGUUGAGGAGAAGAGUGUACAACAAAAUAAUUGGGCUUGGGAAAUCAGUGGGCUUCAGCGGCCGCAUGUCUCCUGGUGGGGAGUAGAGGGAGGGAGAUAACAUUUUUUUUCUCCCCGUCUUCAGCACACCUCCUUUCUUUUAGCAUAAAAGCUAUACUGAAUAAAAUUGCAGGGAAUUUCUUGCUGAGUGGAUGGACGGCCAGUGCAUUUUGAAUAAUAAAAACAAUGGGUAUAAUUAAAUUUCAUCUGAUGCAGGAAGGAUUUAGAGCAUGUCACCUUGGAACCAUCUCAUUCUGUGUUAUUCUCUAGGCAUCUCGAUAUUUGGUUGCAGCAGCUGAAUGACAAUAAUUCAGAUUUGAUCAGUAAUGGCAGUGUCUGUAGGGACAUGUAUUAAUGCACUGAUGUGUCUGGAAUUAGGUUCUUAAAUAAAACAUCAUUGCUAUGUAUUUAUUUUCAUUUUAAAGGAAUAAAUUGAAAUCAACAGACGGAACUAGACUGACUUUU